CAGGAACGAUGGACCUUGGUGCUGGAAUCAGGUAAGUGGUUAGAGGACUUUUACGCUCUUGAUAUUUGAUUGGAAAAGAGGGGGAGGGGGUGAAGUGAUGUGGGACACGGUAGUGUGAGCAAUACAGCCUUGCCUUUCUAACCCCAAUGCUUUGGAUUCCCAAUAAUUCACACUGAUUAAUAAACAUGGCGGUUUCCCAAGGUAUCAAGUAGUCCCAUAAAGCUUGCAAAAGACCAAGCAAACCGGAUUCAUGUGUAAUAUAUACAUAAUCAUAGAAAUCUAUGGAAGUUAUGCAAACGAAAAAAUAGCCUAUUCUGCAGAUGGGUCCAUU